rnacentral:ncRNA from 4 species
ACGCUCACCGCAUGCCUGCCGAAAGAUUUCGGCGACAUGCCAGGCAACCUCCGGUCUUCGAGGUUGCGCGCGGCCCGCAAACUGCGUGACCGAACCAGUUCGCUUCGCAUCCUUCGCGCGAACGGCCGCCGGUUUUCCCGGUGGCGGAUGC